CGAUUACCAAGUGCCAGCGAUUGAUGGCAUAAAUGAAACAAAGGGUUCGCCGGAGGUGGUUUGGUCUGUCUCUGCGCACAUCAGGGCUCUAAAAUCUUGGGAUGUUCAUUGCCUGUGUCGUGUGUCCGAAGAGAAUGUUCCCAUGUAGAAUGUGUAGUGAUGUAAGCUCUGUCUCAAACUGUUUUAUUUGUUUAUUUGUUUUGUUUUCUUUUUUUGAUGGCGUUGUUUGUUUUGUUCCAUCUGUUUGUGUAACCCAAACUCGCAUCAUUUAUAAGAAAUCCUUAAGAAAUAUUUUGAUUGUUA